rnacentral:rRNA from 1 species
AGUAACACGUAGCCAACCUACCCUAUGGACGGGGAUAACCUCGGGAAACUGAGGAUAAACCCCGAUAGAUCAUUAUGCCUGGAACGGUUUAUGGUCCAAAUGAUUCGUCGCCAUAGGAUGGGACUGCGGCCUAUCAGCUUGUUGGUGAGGUAAUGGCCCACCAAGGCUAUUACAGGUACGGGCUCUGAGAGGAGAAGCCCGGAGAUGGGUACUGAGACACGGACCCAGGCCCUAUGGGGCGCAGCAGGCGANAAACNUUUGCAAUGUGCGCAAGCACGACAAGGUUAAUCCGAGUGUUUCCUGCUAAAGGAAUCUUUUGUUAGUCCUAAAAACACUAGUGAAUAAGGGGUGGGCAAGUUCUGGUGUCAGCCGCCGCGGUAAAACCAGCACCUCAAGUGGUCAGGAGGAUUAUUGGGCCUAAAGCAUCCGUAGCCUGCUCUAUAAGUUUCCGGUUAAAUCCAUUAGCUCAACUAAUGGGCUGCCGGAAAAACUGUACAGCUAGGGAGUGGGAGAGGUAGACGGUACUCGGUAGGAAGGGGUAAAAUCCUUUGAUCUAUUGAUGACCACCUGUGGCGAAGGCGGUCUACCAAAACACGUUCGACGGUGAGGGAUGAAAGCUGGGGGAGCAAACCGGAUUAAAUACCCGGGUAGUCCCAGCUGUAAACGAUGCAGACUCGGUGAUGCCCUGGCUUGUGGCCGGUGCAGUGCCGCAGGGAAGCCGUUAAGUUUGCCGCCUGGGAAGUACGUACGCAAGUAUGAAACUUAAAGGAAUUGGCGGGGGAGCACCACAAGGGGUGAAGCCUGCGGUUC